rnacentral:rRNA from 1 species
GAUGAACGCUGGCGGCGUGCCUAAUACAUGCAAGUCGAGCGAACAGACGAGGAGCUUGCUCCUCUGACGUUAGCGGCGGACGGGUGAGUAACACGUGGAUAACCUACCUAUAAGACUGGGAUAACUUCGGGAAACCGGAGCUAAUACCGGAUAAUAUAUUGAACCGCAUGGUUCAAUAGUGAAAGACGGUUUUGCUUUCACUUAUAGAUUGAUCCGCGCCGCAUUAGCUAGUUGGUAAGGUAACGGCUUACCAAGGCAACGAUGCGUAGCCGACCUGAGAGGGUGAUCGGCCACACUGGAACUGAGACACGGUCCAGACUCCUACGGGAGGCAGCAGUAGGGAAUCUUCCGCAAUGGGCGAAAGCUUGACGGAGCAACGCCGCGUGAGUGAUGAAGGUCUUCGGAUCGUAAAACUCUGUUAUUAGGGAAGAACAAAUGUGUAAGUAACUAUGCACGUCUUGACGGUACCUAAUCAGAAAGCCACGGCUAACUACGUG